AACGCACGAGACCUGCGGACCUGCGGAAGGAUCAUUACCUAGAGUUUGUAGACUUCGGUCUGCUACCUCUUACCCAUGUCUUUUGAGUACCUUCGUUUCCUCGGCGGGUCCGCCCGCCGAUUGGACAACAUUCAAACCCUUUGCAGUUGCAAUCGGCGUCUGAAAAAACAUAAUAGUUACAACUUUCAACAACGGAUCUCU
rnacentral:misc_RNA from 1 species